rnacentral:rRNA from 1 species
UAAGGAAUAUUGGACAAUGGAGGCAACUCUGAUCCAGCCAUGCCGCGUGAAGGAAUAAGGCCCUAUGGGUUGUAAACUUCUUUUAGACGGGACAAAACCCCUUUACGUGUAAAGGGUUGAUGGUACUGUCAGAAUAAGCAUCGGCUAACUUCGUGCCAGCAGCCGCGGUAAUACGAAGGAUGCAAGCGUUAUCCGGAAUUAUUGGGUUUAAAGGGUGCGUAGGCGGACUAAUAAGUCAGUGGUGAAAGCCUGCAGCUUAACUGCAGAAUUGCCAUUGAUACUGUUAGUCUUGAGUACAGUUGAGGUAGGCGGAAUGUGUCAUGUAGCGGUGAAAUGCUUAGAUAUGACACAGAACACCUAUUGCGAAGGCAGCUUGCUAAGCUGGAACUGACGCUGAGGCACGAAAGCGUGGGGAGC